rnacentral:rRNA from 1 species
GGUCAAGCGAACAAGUGCAUGUGGUGGAUGCCUUGGCGAUCACAGGCGAUGAAGGACGCGGUAGCCUGCGAAAAGCUACGGGGAGCUGGCAAACGAGCUUUGAUCCGUAGAUGUCCGAAUGGGGAAACCCGGCCCUUUUGGGUCAUCCUAGACUGAAUACAUAGGUCUAGUGAAGCGAACGCGGUGAACUGAAACAUCUAAGUAACCGCAGGAAAAGAAAUCAACCGAGAUUCCCAAAGUAGUGGCGAGCGAAAUGGGAUGAGCCUUGCACUCUUUAUUUGUAUUGUUAGCCGAACGCUCUGGAAAGUGCGGCCAUAGCAGGUGAUAGCCCUGUAGGCGAAAACAGUAUGAAAGAACUAGGUGUGCGACAAGUAGGGCGGGACACGUGAAAUCCUGUCUGAAGAUGGGGGGACCAUCCUCCAAGGCUAAAUACUCGUGAUCGACCGAUAGUGAACCAGUACCGUGAGGGAAAGGCGAAAAGAACCCCGGGAGGGGAGUGAAAUAGAUCCUGAAACCGCAUGCAUACAAACAGUCGGAGCCUCGUAAGGGGUGACGGCGUACCUUUUGUAUAAUGGGUCAGCGACUUACGUUCAGUAGCAAGCUUAACCGUAUAGGGCAGGCGUAGCGAAAGCGAGUCCGAAUAGGGCGUUCAGUUGCUGGGCGUAGACCCGAAACCAGGUGAUCUAUCCAUGGCCAGGAUGAAGGUGCGGUAACACGUACUGGAGGUCCGAACCCACUAACGUUGAAAAGUUAGGGGAUGAGCUGUGGAUAGGGGUGAAAGGCUAAACAAACCUGGAAAUAGCUGGUUCUCUCCGAAAACUAUUUAGGUAGUGCCUCGUGUCUCACCUUCGGGGGUAGAGCACUGUCAUGGUUGGGGGGUCUAUUGCAGAUUACCCCGCCAUAGCAAACUCCGAAUACCGAAGAGUGCAAUCACGGGAGACAGACAUCGGGUGCUAACGUCCGGUGUCAAGAGGGAAACAACCCAGACCGCCAGCUAAGGUCCCCAAAUAUAGCUAAGUGGGAAACGAAGUGGGAAGGCUAAAACAGUCAGGAGGUUGGCUUAGAAGCAGCCACCCUUUAAAGAAAGCGUAAUAGCUCACUGAUCGAGUCGUCCUGCGCGGAAGAUGUAACGGGGCUAAGCUA